GGGGAUUAUCACUAGUGAUAGAACGCCCGCUUUGUAUGCACGAAGUCAUGAUUUCUAGUCUCCGAACCAUCCU
rnacentral:tRNA from 1 species